rnacentral:tRNA from 1 species
GGAGAGGUCGCAUAGUUGGCCUAGUGCGCGCGUCUCGAAAACGCGUAUCCCGGAAGGGAUCGAGGGUUCGAAUCCCUCCCUCUCCG